GAAGAUAUUCAAGGUUUAAUAGGCAAAGGUUUGCACAUAUGUUUGAAUGUGAACAAAUGAAAGUUUUUUCAAACCUUCAUAAGCAACACAUAUGCGACUAAGGUUGAUUCUUCUAUAGAUACGAAGUACAAUGUAUCUACAUUUGUUGAAUUUUCAACCACCAGACGACUAAGUCAUCAAUUAUGUGUGGUUGAAUCGAAUGCUAAGCAUUCAGCACAUCAACAACGAAUCCGUGCCAUCAUACAGGCAUAUGUCGAAUCGAACAUAAACAUUCGACCACUAUUUCGAACUGAGAGAAAAUUUAAAUACGUCUUUCGACGUUUUGCAUUAAUAUGCAGU